ACGGGGUGCAGCAGGCGCGAAAACCUGGCAAUGCGAGAAAUCGUGACCAGGGAACUCCAAGUGCAUCGGGUAAGACCGAUGCUUUUCUAGACUCUAAAAAGGUCUUGGAAUAAGAGGUGGGUAAGGACGGUGCCAGCCGCCGCGGUAAUACCGGCGCCUCAAGUGGUAGUCGCUUUUAUUGGGCCUAAAACGUCCGUAGCCGGUCUGAUACAUUCGUGGGUAAAUCAACCAGCUUAACUGGUUGAAUUCUGCGAGGACGGUCAGACUUGGGACCGGGAGAGGUGUGGGGUACGCUCAGGGUAGGGGUAAAAUCCUGUCAUCCUGAGCGGACCACCUGUUGCGAAGGCGCCACACUAGAACGGAUCCGACGGUCAGGGACGAAGCCUAGGGGCACGAACCGGAUUAGAUACCCGGGUAGUCCUAGGUGUAAACGCUGUGGACUUGAUGUUGGGGGUGCUCCGAGCACUCUCAGUGUCGAAGCGAAGGCGAUAAGUCCACUGCCUGGGAAGUACGGUCGCAAGGCUGAAACUUAAAGGAAUUGGCGG
rnacentral:rRNA from 1 species